rnacentral:rRNA from 1 species
UAGGGAAUCUUCGGCAAUGGGGGCAACCCUGACCGAGCAACGCCGCGUGAGUGAAGAAGGUUUUCGGAUCGUAAAGCUCUGUUGUAAGUCAAGAACGGGUGUGAGAGUGGAAAGUUCACACUGUGACGGUAGCUUACCAGAAAGGGACGGCUAACUACGUGCCAGCAGCCGCGGUAAUACGUAGGUCCCGAGCGUUGUCCGGAUUUAUUGGGCGUAAAGCGAGCGCAGGCGGUUUGAUAAGUCUGAAGUUAAAGGCUGUGGCUCAACCAUAGUUCGCUUUGGAAACUGUCAAACUUGAGUGCAGAAGGGGGAG